CUUAUGCUUUUAAGAUCUGUUGC
rnacentral:siRNA from 1 species